GUGAAAGAUUUGUAAGAAAUGUUUGAGGAAACUGAUUCAGUGUUUAACAUUAAGUCAGUUCCCUCAAACAUUUUACUACAAAUCCUUCAA